rnacentral:rRNA from 1 species
UACGUAGGUGGCGAGCGUUAUCCGGAAUGAUUGGGCGUAAAGGGCGUGUAGCCGGGCUGACAAGUCAGAUGUGAAAUCCGGGGGCUCAACCCCCGAACUGCAUUUGAAACUGUUGGUCUUGAGUAUCGGAGAGGCAGGCGGAAUUCCUAGUGUAGCGGUGAAAUGCGUAGAUAUUAGGAGGAACACCAGUGGCGAAGGCGGCCUGCUGGACGACAACUGACGGUGAGGCGCGAAAGCGUGGGGAGCAAACAGG